ACCAGCACAACGUAAUGUAAACAUUUUUUAAACAAGCGUUUUAGGCGGCGAUGUUUUCGAUUGUAAUAAUAUUAUAUUAUUAUUUCUAUUUUUAUGCCGUGCCCGUCUAAAACCUGCCAGUUUACAUUAUUUUUAUUGUAAGUGCUGAUGCAUGCAAACAAGUUUUUCGCAUGGUUCAUAAUAAUUAUUAUAAACGUUUCGAAAAAUGUUCAUUUAAGGUCAAUAGGUCAACAGGCACCUUCAGCGUGGUAUUUCUGUUUUUGCUUUUUUUUUUUUUCUUGUCAGCUUUUAGUAUAUUACAUUAGUUUUGUUUUUAAAUAAUUAUUAUUAUCUAUCAAAAACUUUCCAUGUAAAGAAAAUACAGCUAUAAAUAUGGCAAUAUACUUAUCCGGUGUUUGGAGUGCACGUAAAAGUAAUGAAAAUCAAUUUUCCGGUCGGUGAUAAAAUUUUUUUUUUUUUUAAUGUAUAUAGGCACAAUGAGUGAUGAUAUUGUUUUUUUUUUUUUUAAUCCAUAUUAUUUCAGUGCCGUAAUGUUACACAGGGUAAACGACAUCUAAGACAGUUGAUUACAUCCUGUUUGGACUUUUUUUUUUUUUACUUUUUUCAAGUUUCGAUAGCGUCCAUUGAUUAAGUACCAAUUAUUAUACAAGAAAAUAGGUAGAUUAAAAAAGGACGGAUAUACUUCGUACGUAAAUGCAGCCACUGUUGUGAGAAGUUGGGAAGGUAGAAUGCAGACGGAAAUUUAAUGUAUACCUGUAAAGCAACGAUUAACCAUUGUUAACAAAAAAAAACGAUUCUGAGCGGAGUUCAAUUGGU